GUGCUCACUAUGGCAGCACAUAUACUAAAAUCAGAACGAUAAAGAGAUUAGCAUGGCCCCUGCACAAGGAUGACACACAAAUUCAUGAAGUGUUCUAUAUUUUU
ensembl:snRNA U6 U6 spliceosomal RNA